rnacentral:rRNA from 1 species
GAUGAACGCUAGCUACAGGCUUAACACAUGCAAGUCGAGGGGAAACGACAUCGCAAGCUUGCUUUUGAUGGGCGUCGACCGGCGCACGGGUGAGUAACGCGUAUCCAACCUGCCCAUCACUUGGGAAUAACCUUGCGAAAGUAAGACUAAUACCCAAUGACAUCCCACGAAGACAUCUGAAUGGGAUUAAAGAUUUAUCGGUGAUGGAUGGGGAUGCGUCUGAUUAGCUUGUUGGCGGGGUAACGGCCCACCAAGGCAACGAUCAGUAGGGGUUCUGAGAGGAAGGACCCCCACAUUGGAACUGAGACACGGUCCAAACUCCUACGGGAGGCAGCAGUGAGGAAUAUUGGUCAAUGGGCGAGAGCCUGAACCAGCCAAGUAGCGUGCAGGAUGACGGCCCUAUGGGUUGUAAACUGCUUUUAUAAGGGAAUAAAGUGGGUCUCGUGAGACUUUUUGCAUUUACCUUAUGAAUAAGGACCGGCUAAUUCCGUG